GAUGAACGCUGGCGGCGUGCUUAAUACAUGCAAGUCGAACGGAAAGGCCCUGCUUUUGUGGGGUGCUCGAGUGGCGAACGGGUGAGUAAAACGUGAGUAACCUGCCCUUGACUUUGGGAUAACUUCAGGAAAAUGGGGCUAAUACCGGAUAGGAGCUCCUGAUGCAUGGUGGGGGUUGGAAAAUUUCGGCGGUUGGGGCUGGACUCGCGGCUUAUCAGCUUGUUGGUGGGGUAGUGGAUUACCAAGGCUUAGACGGGUAGCCGGCCUGAGAGGGUGACCGGCCACAAUGGGACUGAGAUACGGCCCAGACGCCUACGGGAGGCAGCAGUGGGGAAUAUUGCACAAUGGGGCGAAGCCUGAUGCAGCGACGCCGCGUGCGGAAUGACGGCCUUCGGGUUGUAAACCGCUUUCUCCUGUGACGAAGCGAGAGUGACGGUAAUGGGUAAAGAAGCACCGGCUAACUACGUG
rnacentral:rRNA from 1 species